rnacentral:rRNA from 1 species
UUAAUUUAACGUGGUGGGAAACCAGGACCUUUACCUUGAAAAAAUUAGAGUGUUCAAAGCAGGCUUAUGUCUGAAUACAUUAGCAUGGAAUAAUAAAAUAGGACAGUGGUUCUGUUUUGUUGGUUUCUGAAUCACUGUAAUGAUUAAUAGGAAUAGUUGGGGGCAUUAGUAUUCAAUUGUCAGAGGUGAAAUUCUUGGAUUUAUUGAAGACUAACUUUUGCGAAAGCAUUUGCCAAGGAUGUUUUCAUUAAUCAAGAACGAAAGUUAGGGGAUCGAAGACGAUCAGAGUCUUAACUAUAAACUAUGCCGACUAGGGAUUGGACGAUGUUAAUUUUUCUUGACUCGUUCGGCGCCUUACG